AGUGAAGUAGCACAGAAAAUAACUGUAUUCAGUGUAAAUAUCUGGAUUAGUGUGUGCUCUCAUUAGGUUUCGUUUUCCCGAAAGCACACUCGCCUAGACAAGUUAGGGGAAUCGGCUCAAAGCCGCUCUUCACUUUCGGAACAAGAAAGCUAGGAGCAGCAUCACUUGAAGAACAGCUACAUGACAAACUCAACAGAAGAUCAGCUGAAUAAAAUGGGUAGCACCCUAAACCAGCACUAUGAAGAGAAGGUGCGUCCUUGUAUUGACCUGAUCGAUUCCCUGCGCUCCCUGGGGGUGGAGAAGGACCUGGCUCUGCCCGCCAUCGCUGUGAUCGGAGACCAAAGCUCCGGCAAGAGCUCCGUACUGGAGGCCCUGUCUGGGGUGGCACUGCCCAGGGGGAGUGGUAUUGUGACGAGAUGUCCUCUGGAGUUGAAGAUGAAGAGGUUGAAAGAGGACGAGGCGUGGCAUGGCAAAAUCAGCUACAAUGGCAAAGAAGAGGAGAUCUAUGAUCCUGCUGAUGUGGAGAAAAUGAUCAGAGAAGCUCAGGACGAGAUGGCGGGAGUCGGGGUGGGGAUCAGUGAUGACCUCAUCAGCCUGGAGAUCUCUUCCCCUGGUGUCCCUGACCUCACGCUCAUCGACCUGCCAGGCAUCGCCAGGGUUGCCGUCAAGGGCCAGCCUGAGAACAUUGGGGAGCAAAUCAAGAGACUGAUCAGGAAGUUCAUCACAAAGCAGGAGACCAUAAAUUUGGUGGUGGUGCCCUGCAAUGUUGACAUAGCAACAACCGAGGCCCUGCAGAUGGCACAGGAAGUGGACCCUGAGGGAGACAGGACUCUGGGUAUCCUGACCAAGCCAGAUCUGGUCGACAAGGGCACAGAAGAAGCAGUAGUGGACAUUGUCCACAAUGAGGUCAUCCAUUUGACUAAGGGUUACAUGAUCGUGAAGUGCCGGGGUCAGAAGGACAUCAUCGACAGGGUAUCCCUGAGCGAGGCAACUGACAAGGAGACGGCCUUCUUCCAAGACCACGCCCAUUUCAGUACCCUGUUGGAUGAAGGCUUUGCCACCAUCCCCAUGUUAGCAGAGAAACUGACUUUGGAGCUGGUGCACCACAUUGAGAAAUCGCUGCCUAGGUUGGAGGAGCAGAUCGAGGCUAAGGUGGCAGAGACCCAAGCAGAUUUGGAGAGGUACGGGGAUGGACCUCCCACAGAGCCUGCAGAGAGGAUGUAUUUCCUGAUCAAUAAAGUGGCAGCAUUCAAUCAGGACAUCAUCAACCUGACCAUUGGGGAGGAGCUGAAGAAUGGGUACAAGCUCAAUCUCUUCUCUGACCUGAGGGCUGAGUUUGGAGAGUGGAAGGGACAGCUCGAUGUUUCUGGAUACAGCUUUCAAAUGCGGGUUGAUGAGGAAGUGAAUGACUUUGAGGCCAAUUACCGUGGGAGGGAGCUUCCUGGCUUCAUCAACUACAAGACCUUUGAGGUUCUGGUGAAAGACCAGCUCAAAAAGCUGGAAGAGCCUGCUGUGAAGAAACUGAAGAGGGUCACAGACAUUGUGAGAAAGGGAUUUGUGCAGAUGGCGCAAAACCAUUUUAACGGGUUCCCAAAUCUGCUCAAAUCUGUCAAGGCCAAAAUAGAAGCCAUCAAGCUGGACAGAGAGUCCAGUGCAGAGUCCAUGCUGAGGACCCAGUUCAGGAUGGAGCUGAUCGUCUACACCCAGGACAGCACCUACAGCCACAGCCUGGAUGAAGAGAAACCCAGCACAGCGACGCCAGACAAGAAGAACAAGACAGGCAGCUUGGUCUACCAGGCUGACUACCAUAUCACACUGAAGGAAAUGGCAUCGCAUCUCAAGGCCUAUUACAGAAUUGCCAGCCAGCGCCUAGCCGACCAAAUCCCGCUGGUCAUCCGCUACCUGAUGCUACAAGAGUCUGCUGCGCAGCUACAGAGGGAGAUGCUGCAGAUGCUGCAGGACAAGGAGAAUGUGGAGCUGCUGCUGAAGGAGGACUACGACAUCGGGAGCAAGAGAGCCGCUUUGCAGAGUCGCCUGAAGCGCCUGACUCAGGCACGCAGCUACCUGCUGGAGUUUUAAAUAUGUGGCCUAUAUCCCCUCCAUCAGGAGUCAAGACCAGGGGUGUCCAUUUUAAGUAAUGAAGUGCUGCAGUGUAAAUGAAGCGUUUGUGCAUUCUUUUCAAUCAACAUCCAGUAUAUGAUCUGGAUAAGCUACAAGUACUCUUAAGUAAGCACUUAAGUGUUAAAAUGCACCAAAACACAAAAAGACUGCAGUUCUUCAGCAUCGAGCCUGACACUCCUGGUAUAGACAUGUACAGCAAGAACUGUUUUGGUUAUUAACUGACUGUUAUGAAACUGCUAUUAUAAAUGAAGUGUCUUGCUAUACAUGUCUAUACAUGUAUCUUGCUAUUUUGUUUGAAGUUGACUUCUGUAUUUGCAUACUUAUUAAGGUCUUGGGGUGUACAAGUUUCAGCGUUAUAGUAUUUUGAAUUAGAUUUCCAAGCAGUUUGUCAGUUGUCAAUUGUUGCUAUUCUUUCCCCCAAAAUAAAAAAGUUUUACUUGC